rnacentral:rRNA from 1 species
GACGAACGCUGGCGGCGUGCUUAACACAUGCAAGUCGAACGGAAAGGCCCUGCUUUUGUGGGGUGCUCGAGUGGCGAACGGGUGAGUAACACGUGAGUAACCUGCCCUUGACUUUGGGAUAACGUCAGGAAACUGGGGCUAAUACCGGAUAGGAGCUCCUGCUGCAUGGGGGGGGUUGGAAAGUUUCGGCGGUUGGGGAUGGACUCGCGGCUUAUCAGCUUGUUGGUGGGGUAGUGGCUUACCAAGGCUUUGACGGGUAGCCGGCCUGAGAGGGUGACCGGCCACAUUGGGACUGAGAUACGGCGCAGACUCCUACGGGAGGCAGCAGUGGGGAAUAUUGCACAAUGGGCGGAAGCCUGAUGCAGCAACGCCGCGUGCGGGAUGACGGCCUUCGGGUUGUAAACCGCUUUCGCCUGUGACGAAGCGUGAGUGACGGUAAUGGGUAAAGAAGCACCGGCUAACUACGUG